AAGAGCCGUGUGAGGGCAAACCUCAAGCACGGUUCUGUGAGGGGCAUUAACAACCAACAAAGGAGGUUGAAAAGAUGUCUACUCGAC
rfam:Deltaproteobacteria bacterium CG2_30_43_15 cg2_3.0_scaffold_5482_c, whole genome shotgun sequence.